rnacentral:rRNA from 1 species
AGAGUUUGAUCCUAGCUCAGGAUGAACGCUGGCGGCGUGGAUAAGGCAUGCAAGUCAAGGGGGCCCUUCGGGGCAACCGGCGAACGAGGUAGUAACACGUAGGCACAUACCCUUUAGUUGGGCAUAGCUAAUCGAAAGGUUAGGUAAUUCCCAAUAGUCUCCAUUUUAUAUGGAGUAAAGAUUUAUCGCUAAAGGAAUGGCCUGCGACCUAUCAGCUUGUUGGUGAGAUAAUAGCUCACCAAGGCUAUGACGGGUAGGGGGGGUGAGAGCCCGAUCCCCACCGAUGGAACUGAGAAACGGUCCAUACACCUACGGGUGGCCGCAGUCGAGAAUCUUCCGCAAUGGGCGAAAGCCUGACGGAGCGACGCCGCGUGGUUGAUGAAGUCUUUCGAGACGUAAAAACCUUUUAUGAUUAAGAAAGUUUAUUGAUCUGAUCAUGAAUAAGGGGCUCCAAACUCUGUGCCAGCAGGAGCGGUAAUACAGAGGCCCCAAGCGUUAUCCGGAAUCACUGGGCGUAAAGGGUGUGUAGGUGGUUUUGUUAGUCUCUUGUUAAAGCUCCCGACCCAAUCGGGAAAAUGCGAGGGAAACGGCAAGACUAGAGGAUGCGAGAGGUAUAUGGAACUCAUGGAGUAGGGGUGAAAUCCGUUGAUAUCAUGGGGAACACCAAAAGCGAAGGCAAUAUACUGGCGCAUUCCUGACAUUGAAACACGAAAGCGUAGGUAGCGAACGGGAUUAGAUACCCCGGUAGUCUACGCCCUAAACGAUGAUCGCUAGCUUUUCGGAGUAUCGACCCUCUGAGAGGCGAAGCUAACGCGUUAAGCGAUCCGCCUGGGUAGUACGAGCGCAAGCUUAAAACUCAAAGGAAUAGACGGGGACUUGCACAAGCGGUGGAUUAUGCGGUUCAAUUCGAUGAUAAACGAAAAACCUUACCAAGGCUAGAAAUUCAGAUGAAUGCCAGAAGAAACUUUGGCAGUCUCACAAGGACAUCUGAACAGGUGAUGCAUGGCCGUCGUCAGUUCGUGAUUUGAAUUGUUCCCUUAAGUGGGGUAACGAACGCAACCCUUGUUGGCUGUUACAAGUGUCAGCCGAGACUACUCAGCACCAAGCACACUUCGUGUGAAUUUAAAAAUUAGAAUUUCCAAAAUUGAAAAUUGAGAAUUUUAAAUUAAAAAUUAGCGAAGCGAAUUUGGUGCUGAGAGGAAGCGAGGAUGACGCCAGGUCAGCAUGUCCCUUGAUGCCUUGGGCUACACGCAUAAUACAAUGGUCACUACAACGGGUCGCGACAGCGUAAGCUUGAGCUAAUCCUAAUAAAAGUGGCCCCAGUUCGGAUUGAGGGCUGAAACUCGACCUCAUGAAGUUGGAAUCGCUAGUAAUCGCGGGUCAGCUAUACCGCGGUGAAUACGUUCUCAAGUCUUGUACUCACCAGUAAUACGCGCCCGGCAGCGCAUAUAUCUAAGUGGUUAAAAUCCACUUCUCUUCUGAGUCUAGAAGAGCAUAGUUGAAAGGUAGUUAUUUCCCGCGAGGUAAAU